rnacentral:rRNA from 1 species
GAUGAACGCUGGCGGCGUGCCUAAUACAUGCAAGUCGAGCGAACAGACGAGGAGCUUGCUCCUCUGACGUUAGCGGCGGACGGGUGAGUAACACGUGGAUAACCUACCUAUACGACUGGGAUAACUUCGGGAAACCGGAGCUAAUACCGGAUAAUAUAUUUAACCGCAUGGUUCAAUAGUGAAAGACGGUUUUGCUGUCACUUAUAGAUGGAUCCGCGUCGCAUUAGCUAGUUGGUAAGGUAACGGCUUACCAAGGCAACGAUGCGUAGCCGACCUGAGAGGGUGAUCGGCCACACUGGAACUGAGACACGGUCCAGACUACUACGGGAGGCAGCAGUAGGGAAUCUUCCGCAAUGGGCGAAAGCUUGACGGAGCAACGCCGCGUGAGUGAUGAAGGUCUUCGGAUCGUAAAACUCUGUUAUUAGGGAAGAACAAAUGUGUAAGUAACUAUGCACGUCUUGACGGUACCUAAUCAGAAAGCAACGGCUAACUACGUG